GAGCUCACUGUUGAAUCACCAGAAGA
rnacentral:piRNA from 1 species